rnacentral:rRNA from 1 species
AAUACUGGAGUUUGAUCCUGGCUCUCAAUGAACGCUGGCGGCAUGCCUAGCACAUGCAAGUCCAACGAAGGCUUCUGCCUUAUUGGGGCACGGGUGCGUAACGCGUGGGAAUCUGCCCUCAGGUUCGGAAUAACAGCGAGAAAUUGCUGCUAAUACCGGAUGAUAUCGCGAGAUCAAAGAUUUAUCGCCUGAGGAUGAGCCCGCGUAGGAUUAGCUAGUUGGUGUGGUAAAGGCGCACCAAGGCGACGAUCCUUAGCUGGUCUGAGAGGAUGAUCAGCCACACUGGGACUGAGACACGGCCCAGACUCCUACGGGAGGCAGCAGUGGGGAAUAUUGGACAAUGGGCGAAAGCCUGAUCCAGCAAUGCCGCGUGAGUGAUGAAGGCCUUAGGGUUGUAAAGCUCUUUUACCCGGGAUGAUAAUGACAGUACCGGGAGAAUAAGCUCCGGCUAACUCCGUGCCAGCAGCCGCGGUAAUACGGAGGGAGCUAGCGUUAUUCGGAAUUACUGGGCGUAAAGCGCACGUAGGCGGCUUUGUAAGUUAGAGGUGAAAGCCUGGAGCUCAACUCCAGAAUUGCCUUUAAGACUGCAUCGCUUGAAUCCAGGAGAGGUGAGUGGAAUUCCGAGUGUACAGGUGAAAUUCGUGG